rnacentral:rRNA from 1 species
UACGGAGGAUCCAAGCGUUAUCCGGAUUUAUUGGGUUUAAAGGGUGCGUAGGCGGCAGAUUAAGUUAGAGGUGAAAUUCCGAGGCUCAACCUUGGCACUGCCUCUGAUACUGGUUUGCUAGCGAGUAGAUGCUGUAGGCGGAAUGUGUGGUGUAGCGGUGAAAUGCAUAGAUAUUACACAGAACACCGAUUGCGAAGGCAGCUUGCUAGGCCGGAUCUGACACUGAUGCACGAAAGCGUGGGGAUCGAACAGG